rnacentral:lncRNA from 1 species
CAUUAAAAAUGCAAAUGAUUUUUUAAUAGUGAGUUUGUUUGUAUCGGGACAUGUAAGACCCAUAGAUUGCAUUUGAUUGAUAUUUCCUUUAAGUUCAUAGGUUUCCCUCCCCACCCCUUGCAAUUAUUGUUGAAGAAAUUGGGCAGUUUAUCUUGGAUCUUGCUGAUUGCAUUCCCAUAAUGUCAUUUUACACAUUCCUCUGUCCCCUGUAUUUCCUGCAAACUGGUAGAUCUAGAGCCUUCUUGAGAUUCAGGUUUGGUUUUUCUUGUUUGCCAGGAGUACUUCACAGGUGGUGCUGUGUCAGGAGUCACAUGGAAUCAUUUUGUGGUGUGAGCAGCCGUCGAUGAUCAUGCCCAGAUCCAUUAAUUCAUUAGCUGCCAUAUGGCUUGAUGUGGCACUGCUCCUUGCAGCAGCUGGGAAAAAGAGUGCCUUGGUCCUGAAGGAGACAUCUGGGUGGUACAUCACAGCAUCCGUGACACACAAGAAGUAAAGCCAGGUUUAGAACCCAGGCAGUCAGAUUCCACAGCCUGGAUGCUUAACCGCUGCCCUCUACUGCUUGGAAGCAUCUAGAGGAAGUAUUUUGAAGGUCUUCUGAACCCCACCGAACCUUCCAGGUCCAUCUUGGAUGCCACUUCUCCAUAAAUAUUUCUCUGAUCCUAUAGCCAGAGGAUGCCUCUCAGCUUGGCAUGCCCACUGCCUGGAGGUGCCCUCUCUGGUGGCA